UGCUCUUAGAGCAUUUGAACCCCAUUACCAUUGAGCUAAACUUUCGGGGCAUGUAAAGAGAAUUCAACAUUUAAUAUAUAUACACAUAAAAUAAAAAUUUAAUCUUAUAUACUCAAUGUAAUUUUCCGACGAAGGGGUCGGAUGAACCUCUGGCUCCAUGUACAUUUGCCCCCGAUUGGAAGGUUCCAAACACAAGGGGUAUACCCGAAGAGAACUGACUUGCUUGAUAUUAAUCCGUGGGCGAUUGAGUUCCUCUUGGAUUCGACUGAAUGACAUUUUAUUUACCUAUUUGAAGCAAAGCACAACCCUUAUAAUGUGAUGUAUAGCAGAAUCAACACAAUGCUAAGGUUGAAAAGUCAAUAAGCAACUGAAAGAAAAAGGAUAAUUAUUAGAAUGAUCCUCGAACAUUGGUUUGAGUUGCUACAUUUAACUGAUCAACUAUCUCAAGCGUGCAUUGCAGCAGGUAUAACACAUUCAAAUGUGUUUGACUCACCUAAAUUAAGAUUUGAACUCUGAAAUUAAUGUUGAACCUUAAAUCAGUUAUCUACUUAUCUUAACCUUUUUUCUCGUUGUUGCACAAAUGAUGAAUUGACAAUUACCUUUAAGG